rnacentral:rRNA from 1 species
AUGAACGCUGGCGGCGUGCCUAAUACAUGCAAGUCGAGCGAACAGUCGAGGAGCUUGCUCCUCUGACGUUAGCGGCGGACGGGUGAGUAACACGUGGAUAACCUACCUAUAAGACUGGGAUAACUUCGGGAAACCGGAGCUAAUACCGGAUAAUAUAUUGAACCGCAUGGUUCAAUAGUGAAAGACGGUUUUGCUGUCACUUAUAGAUGGAUCCGCGCCGCAUUAGCUAGUUGGUAAGGUAACGGCUUACCAAGGCAACGAUGCGUAGCCGACCUGAGAGGGUGAUCGGCCACACUGGAACUGAGACACGGUCCAGACUCCUACGGGAGGCAGCAGUAGGGAAUCUUCCGCAAAGGGCGAAAGCCUGACGGAGCAACGCCGCGUGAGUGAUGAAGGUCUUCGGAUCGUAAAACUCUGUUAUUAGGGAAGAACAAAUGUGUAAGUAACUAUGCACGUCUUGACGGUACCUAAUCAGAAAGCCACGGCUAACUACGUG